UGAUGGCAUUGAACACUUAGGGAAAUUGGGACCACAAUUCAUAAAAUUGGGAUUAAAAAUCUUGCACAAUAGGGCCCCUAGCCGUGUGGCUUUGGAAAUGGUCCCACACAUGUUGUGGCCAAUUUUAAUUGGUCCAACACAUGUGUGGACCAUAGGGACAUGGAGAUAUUUUAGUGGGAACUUAAAAAUAUGACCUCUAAGUCAUUUCUCUUUAUUUCUACACUUAGAAUAAAAAUUUAGAAGGAGGAGAACAACAACUCCAACCUCACGGCUAAGAGGAGAGAAACACAAGAUCAUUUCUAGCCUUCUCAAAAAAAAAAUUCCUUGGUGUUAAUCAACUAUAUUGAGGUCCCUAAGUAGCGUGGAAGAGUUGUUUGGGUCAUCCAACCACUAGUUGUGCCCAAUUGCAAACCCUAACUAUUGAAGGAAGUGAAGAACAAAGACCUUGGGGAGCCCGAGGCGUAAAUUUGGAGUAGCUUUAGAUUGGCUAGCUUGGAAGUGCGUUCGAGGUACAGACGCACAGUUCGGUGAUCCCCCAGUGUAGGAUACCCCUUUUGCUGUUGGAGUGCUCCCCUCCCUUCAGAGCACAUCUUUUGGUAUACACUUUUGUUCGCUAUGUUGUAUAUAUUCGUUCAUGGGUACGGCGGGGCCCUGUUCCGCCAUAUGAUUCGUUUGGUCUGUUUAGAGGUCUGUAAACUUAUUUGUGGGUGUGUGUGCCUACUUCUGCUCAGUUGUGUUUAUAUGAUUCUACCCAUUGUGGCAGCCUCGUCGGCAUGCAUUUUGUAUAUGUUUAAGGCAGCCUUGUCGGCUCGAACAUGUAUAUGUUGUUCUGUUGGCCCUGUGUGGCCUUUGUGGUA